rnacentral:tRNA from 1 species
ACCUGAGUGGCUCAGUUGGUUAAGCGUCUGACUUCGGCUCAGGUCAUGAUCUCACGGUUCGUGAGUUCGAGCCCCGCUUCGGGCU